rnacentral:rRNA from 1 species
GCUUGUGACCAUGCCACCCUAAGGGUCGGGCCUGGUUAGUAUUGGGACGGGAGACCGCCUGGGAAUAUCAGGUGCCGUAAUCA